rnacentral:rRNA from 1 species
GACGAACGCUGGCGGCGUGCCUAAUACAUGCAAGUCGAGCGAAGUUUUUCUGGUGCUUGCACUAGAACAACUUAGCGGCGAACGGGUGAGUAACACGUAAAGAACCUGCCUCAUAGUCUGGGACAACUAUUGGAAACGAUAGCUAAUACCGGAUAACAGUAUUUCUUGCAUGAGAGAUAUUUAAAAGUUGGUUAUGCUAACACUAUGAGAUGGCUUUGCGGUGCAUUAGCUGGUUGGUGGGGUAAAGGCCCACCAAGGCGACGAUGCAUAGCCGACCUGAGAGGGUGAUCGGCCACACUGGGACUGAGACACGGCCCAGACUCCUACGGGAGGCAGCAGUAGGGAAUCUUCCGCAAUGGGCGAAAGCCUGACGGAGCAACGCCGCGUGAGUGAAGAAGAAUUUCGGUUCGUAAAGCUCUGUUGUUAGGGAAGAAUGGAUAUGUAGUAACUAUACAUGUAAGAGACGGUACCUAACCAGAAAGCCACGGCUAACUACGUG